rnacentral:lncRNA from 1 species
AUGGCCAACGUGUGCCCAGCACCUGUGCCAGUGUGCACUCAGCUCGAGUACCAGUUAAUCCUUCCUUUGUCUGUAUGGAGUUCUUUGGCUUCCAACAGGGAAGGCACAAUCAGGACACUGGGACUAUUUAUCAAGGUUUCAGAGCAGGCUCAGCUGUCUUCACUUCACAUUUAUUAUAUAACUCCCACAGAAGAAAGCAGAUCAUGUCUCCAAAUAGAGAUGGAAAAUCUGAUGCUCUGUGGGUGGCCUCCACAAAUCGUGUGAUCCAGAGAAAGGUAAGGUGGACACUACAGUGUUUUCUAUGGGAUGACCUCCACAAGGGGUGAAUACCAAGGGUCCUCAAUUGGAGCCACCUUGGAGGCUGGCUACUACAGUACUUUACCUUUUCAUUUAAUUGAGAUUUUAAUUGAUAUAAUUAGAGAUUUAUGUGCAAGUAUGAAAGACUAUCCAGUGCAUACUUUGCCAAGUUUUCCCCAAUUUUGCAUUUUCAAAACUCUAGUAUAAUAUUUCAACAUUGACAUUGAUAUAAUACACCAUUUUUAUUCAGCUUUCUCAGGUUUUCUCCUUCUCAUUAGUGUAUGUAUAUGCAUUUCUGUGUAUUAAGUUCUAUAUAAUUAAAUCACUUGUUGGUUCAUGUAUCUAAUACCUCAGUCAAGAUACUAAAGAAUUCCAGCACCACAAGAAUUCCUCCUCUUUUUCCUCCUCUUGGUUUUUUACAACCAUACCAUCCUCCUUCUUGUACUAACUCCUCUCGUCAAUCCUGACUCCUGGUAAACACUAAUCUGUGUUCAUUUCACAGGCAAAUGAUUAAACAAAC